GCAGGAGUGUGUAAAUGAUGGUGGCAGGUGUGUGUAAAUGAUGGUGGCAGGUGUGCAUAAAUGAUGGUGGCAGGAGUGUGUAAAUGAUGGUGGCAGGAGUGUGUAAAUGAUGGUGGCAGGUGUGCAUAAAUGAUGGUGGCAGGUGUGCAUAAAUGAUGGUGGCAGGAGUGUGUAAAUGAUGGUGGCAGGAGUGUGUAAAUGAUGGUGGCAGGUGUGCAUAAAUGAUGGUGGCAGGUGUGCAUAAAUGAUGGUGGCAGGAGUGUGUAAAUGAUGGUGGCAGGAGUGUGUAAAUUAUGGUGGCAGGUGUGCAUAAAUGAUGGUGGCAGGAGUGUGUAAAUGAUGGUGGCAGGAGUGUGUAAAUGAUGGUGGCAGGUGUGCAUAAAUGAUGGUGGCAGGUG
ensembl:lncRNA